rnacentral:rRNA from 1 species
AUUGAACGCUGGCGGCAUGCCUUACACAUGCAAGUCGAACGGUAACGGGCCUUCGGGUGCCGACGAGUGGCGAACGGGUGAGUAAUGCAUCGGAACGUACCUUUCAGUGGGGGAUAACGUAGCGAAAGUUACGCUAAUACCGCAUAUUCUGUGAGCAGGAAAGCAGGGGAUCGCAAGACCUUGCGCUGAUUGAGCGGCCGAUGUCAGAUUAGCUAGUUGGUGAGGUAAAGGCUCACCAAGGCGACGAUCUGUAGCGGGUCUGAGAGGAUGAUCCGCCACACUGGGACUGAGACACGGCACAGACUCCUACGGGAGGCAGCAGGGGGUAAUUUUGGACAAUGGGGGCAACCCUGAUCCAGCCAUGCCGCGUGAGUGAAGAAGGCCUGCAGGUUGUAAAGCUCUUUCGGCCGGGAAGAAAUCGCACAGGCUAAUACCUUGUGUGGAUGACGGUACCGGAAUAAGAAGCACCGGCUAACUACGUGCCAGCCGCCGCGGUAAUAC